GGUGGGGCACCCUCAUAGGAGAAAGGUUGGGGUGGGGAUAGGGGAGUUUCAGCGGGGAAACCAGGAAAGGGGAUAACAUUUGAAAUGUAAACAAAUAAAAUAUCCAAUAAAAAAAAAGAAAAAAGAAAAGUCUUUUCUAAGCAUGUCAUAAGAUAAAGGUGGAACACUCCAUGAAAAAUUAGGGACAAUUUGAAAACCUUGGAGAAAUGCCCUAUAACAAUUCAUAGCAAAAGUGUCAAUUUCUUCUAUAUAUAAGAAAAUCAAUAGGGAAAAAUCGAUAUAAAGAAAACCCAGUACAAAGUACUAUGGUAAAGAUAAAAUAAACAAUACAUUUCCGCUUAUCAUUACCAGUAACACAGGGAAUAAAACUGAAAUAUUAAGAAUUAAAUAUCCAUUUUCUAUGUUAAAAAAAUAUAGAGGUUGUAAAAUUUAAUUUAAUCCAAAACCCUAAGAUAAAGUUAAUGCUUGAUUUUUUGCAUUCAUAUUCUUAAAUAUUAAUUUGUUCUUAGUAAUAUUUACCAAAAACAAAAGAACUUUAAAAACUGUUAUUUUAUCCUUUUACUAAAUGGUCAUUUAAAACCUGUGUCUCAAGUUAGCUUUUCUUAUCCAAAUUAUACAGAAGACAUCAGUCUAAAAGUCUAGUAGCAAUAUUCACAAUGUUUUAUAACUUAAGUAGUGAUGUUUCUUGAUUUAAUUAGUAUCUAAGCUGUCCUAUAAUACAACUAGCUAAGAUUAAAAAGUUAAACAAUUUGUAUCUUACUAAUAAGAAAGGGGGAAGGAUAAUGCUAUACUGACUUCUCCCAAAGUGCUUUUCUAACCAUCUAAAUAUGUUAGUUCAUAUAUUACAAAUAAUUAUAAAUACAGGGGAAAUAUAAAGUCAAUCUGGUUACAAAGUUUGGUUUUAGACAUGUUUCCUUUUUGACCUUCACUCCAUUUUAUCAAACUGUGUUGUUGAUUUCUUAAUUUAGGUAUAGUCAUCUUAGCUCACACGUUAUGUCAGGUACAGAGAGUAUAAAAAAUAAUUCAGGUGCGGAUCCUGAACGAAUGGAUUGAUAUGAUCCAGGAUUUUGUUUCUUAAUGGCCUUUACCAGCUAUUCUCUCUCCUGAAGAUGCUGUCCUGCCCACUAUUCAGCCUCAUCUACAUCAGGUCCUAUGAAUGAGCUUCCUAGUUGUGAGGGAACUUACGAUAUUUAAUAAGUAACAUGUGGAAUUGCUCCUGACCAAAAUGUGAUGUUUGUAGACAAGGGAAUUGUGAAUGACAACUCCUGAGGACCUGACAUCUACAUCAGGUCCUAUGAAUGAGCUUCCUAGUUGUGAGGGAACUUACGAUAUUUAAUAAGUAACAUGUGGCAUUGCUCCUGACCAAAAUGUGAUGCUUUGUAGACAAGGGAAUUGUGAAUGACAACUCCUGAGAGGAGGCUGUGUCUGAGCAGACCGAUUUGAUCUGCAAUACCAUGGAGAGAGUGGAAUGGUGCAGGCUAAUUACCUUGUCUUGGGCUAGUUUUAGCGAGCCCUCCUCCCAGUAGCCAUACCUUACCUACCUCUGUGUCAGAACUAACAUUCUGUGACUAAUAGAUAAAAACCUUUUGAAAUUUACUAACUUAGCAGACUGCUAGCUUCUACCAACCCCAAAGCUACAAAUGUCAUCCAACUAAAUUUGCCUUGAUUUUGCCUUUCUUUGUUCUGUAAAACUGUGAAAUUGCUUCCACAUUGGGACAUAGAGUUGGGUAACUUCAAUCUGUGUUCCUGGACAAUGGUCACUUGAAAUGGCUUCAGAAUAAACUGUCCUCUUAUUUCCUUU
rnacentral:lncRNA from 1 species